GCGGCGUGCUAAUACAUGCAAGUCGAGCGAAUGGAUUAAGAGCUUGCUCUUAUGAAGUUAGCGGCGGACGGGUGAGUAACACGUGGGUAACCUGCCCAUAAGACUGGGAUAACUCCGGGAAACCGGGGCUAAUACCGGAUAACAUUUUGAACCGCAUGGUUCGAAAUUGAAAGGCGGCUUCGGCUGUCACUUAUGGAUGGACCCGCGUCGCAUUAGCUAGUUGGUGAGGUAACGGCUCACCAAGGCAACGAUGCGUAGCCGACCUGAGAGGGUGAUCGGCCACACUGGGACUGAGACACGGCCCAGACUCCUACGGGAGGCAGCAGUAGGGAAUCUUCCGCAAUGGACGAAAGUCUGACGGAGCAACGCCGCGUGAGUGAUGAAGGCUUUCGGGUCGUAAAACUCUGUUGUUAGGGAAGAACAAGUGCUAGUUGAAUAAGCUGGCACCUUGACGGUACCUAACCAGAAAGCCACGGCUAACUACGUGCCAGCAGCCGCGGUAAUACGUAGGUGGCAAGCGUUAUCCGGAAUUAUUGGGCGUAAAGCGCGCGCAGGUGGUUUCUUAAGUCUGAUGUGAAAGCCCACGGCUCAACCGUGGAGGGUCAUUGGAAACUGGGAGACUUGAGUGCAGAAGAGGAAAGUGGAAUUCCAUGUGUAGCGGUGAAAUGCGUAGAGAUAUGGAGGAACACCAGUGGCGAAGGCGACUUUCUGGUCUGUAACUGACACUGAGGCGCGAAAGCGUGGGGAGCAAACAGGAUUAG
rnacentral:rRNA from 1 species